GUCAUGGUAGCCCUAGAAGACCAACACAGAGAAGAAUGAGCAAAAUGAACUACAUCCUGUUCCACCACCCUGUCCCAGGACCAGUCCAUGACCAUUGCCAGCACAUCAUGUGAGCCCACUGUGAGAUCCAAUCCGUACACAAAGGUGCUGGUUCUGGAUCCAACCCAUACAACAAAAAUGUGGUCCAGGGACCAGCAGCAUCCUCCCACAUGAGAGCUUGCUAAGAAUGCAGCGUCUCUGGCCUCAGCCCUGCUGAAUUGGAGUCUGCCUUUUAACAACAUUCCCAGGUGAUUUGUGUGUACGCUGAAGUUUGAGAAAUACUGUUUUAAGGAAAACUUAUGCCCUACACUUACUAUGUGAAUUCUGGAUGAGUCUGAUGAUCAAAGGCAGCUUCUACUCCAUGAAAUAUGGUACCAGGUAGCAUCUGCUGGGACUAAGUGUGAGUGCUGUUUGACUGCUCUUCACCCAUCCUGACACAUCCUAUGAGAUGGGCACUGUGGAUGUACCCAUAUUACAGGUGAGGACGCAGAGACAUGAAGAGGUGAGGGGACUUGCCAGAGGUGGGACAGCCAACAAGCAGCACAGCCAGAAAUGGAACCCAAGCAACUGAGUCCCCUUUCGGGCCAAUGAUCCUGAAGCUUGAGCAUGCAUCAGAAUCGCCUGAAAAACUCAUGGGAGUGUAGAUUUCUGAACACCAACCUAAAGAUUCUGAUUCAGAGGUGGACCUCAAAAUGUGCCUUACUAACAAGUUCUCAGGCAGCAAUGCCGAGGUUGCAAAUACGGGGCCCACGCUUUGAGAACAGCUGCUCACUGGCGGUUCAUCACCUGUGUUAAGAAACUAGCUGGUUUUGUGAUCAACUCCAACCAGAUAUGAUUGAGAUUUGAGUCAGUGCCCCUGCCCUAAAAAGAAAAAGAAAAAAGGUGUAUGGAUGUGGGUGUGGGGGAUGGUGUAUUCAUAGGGAAUCACCAAUAACUAAAACACAAAGAGGGCAUGGUGGUCCACAGAAGGGAAAAUUGCCUUUUGAUGAUCCCCAGCUUAGUGGCAUGAGCUGUCCCCGUGCUCCUCAUUGCCAUGGCUAAUUGAGAGUAUAUUGCAGCAUCAUUGCUGUAAUAAUCCUUUCCAUUAUUUAACCUGGACAAUGCAUGGUGUUAUAAUGAGUUUCCAGCGUCUGGUCAUUAAACCAAUAUUUACAAGGCCCGGCCUGUCCUGGCCGGGUUCGGUGCAGAACACUGGAGACCAGGAAGAUAAGGCACUGAUCUUCCUGUCUUUCAACAACUCCCAGGUGGCCAGCUACACCCCUCCAUUUGGGGCAGGUGGGUGGAAGGGAAGAUGUGCAUAAUUCUGGAAGAAAAAAGGGGGGUCCUGAAAAGAAUUCACAGCUGAAGUGACCUGGUAAUAUUUGAAUGUUACUUUCUUGUCGUUGUAUGCUGUUUGGAAAAAGUGUAUCUGUAAGUGGACUAAAAAUACACACAAUUUUAAAAUACAAAAUUGAAAGUGUAACUUCCAAAGUUCUUCCCCCCAAGGAUAAUCACUUAACAUUUGGUGGGGGGCAAAUAUCGUUUUAGAUAUCUCCUUCUAUUUUCCUCUCUUCCUCCCCAUCUGUCUCCUCUCUCCUUCCCUUCUUUCCUUUCCCCUCACCUCCCCUCUCUUCCCUUACUCUCUCUCUCAGCCUUCCCAUCUCUCUCUGCUUGUCUCUUCCUCUCUUUCUUUAUCCCUCUUAUCCCCUCCCCUCUCCUCCUCUCCCCUCUUCUGUCUUUCUCUUCGCCCCUUUGUCUUCCUCCCUUUCUUUCCCCUCCUAUCCUCUCUUCUCUGUCUGCCUCCCUAUCUCCCUCCCAUUCUCUCUCCCCCCACCUCUCUUUCUGCUUCUCUCCAUCACAUACAGGUAUAUGACUAGAUGCAGCUCUGCAUAUUUGAGAGCAGUGGUGGAAAAAGACUAGAAGUCCAUCAGGCAGUCAAGAGCCAGAAGGGUGUCGGGGCAAAGGGAUACUAUAUGGUAAGGAGCAUAAAGCGACCUGUGGAAUGACAGCCCUAAAGAACUAACCCAAGUGUCGAAGAAUGAGGGGAUUCUCAGCAGGUGAGUCAGCAGGGCCUGGAUCACGGUGUGCAGUUUGCACUUUACCCUAAAAGGAAUGGGAAGCCAGGGAAGGUUCUAAGCAGGAGAAAGGCUUGGUCUUUUUGCCUUUUAGGGAGACCUCUCUGGUAGCUACUGUUGGGUCAGACUGAAAGGAGAGAAGCCA
rnacentral:lncRNA from 10 species